GUGCUGAGUCCCGUGCACUGCUGAGGUAUAGGCAGACUCUGUUCUCCACUUUCAGGGCAGGGGUAAGCCAGUCAACCCUUGAUAAUGAUUGGAGAUUCCUGUGUAUCUCCUAAAUCCAGACCUGGUCUAGGACCAUCACUGGCUAAUGGGAUCCCCCUGAAAGAACACUGUUCUGCUUCUUGUUGAGGUGGGAAGAUGCCAGAAGGGACGACCUCCUCACCUAUUAUGGUAGAAGUGUUGGGGACCUGGCUGGGCAUGUGGCUGGAUUUGCUGAAUCUCAGCUUUCAUCUUAAAACAAAAAGCUGCCUGGUGUGGUUCCGAAUACUCACGGAGAGCAUUGAACCCUGAAGUGGCACAGUACAAGCCUUCUGGAA
rnacentral:lncRNA from 1 species